UGCAGUCGAGCGCACUCUUCGGAGUGAGCGGCGGACGGGUUAGUAACGCGUGGGAACGUACCCAGAUCUACGGAAUAGCCUCGGGAAACUGAGAGUAAUACCGUAUACGCCCUUCGGGGGAAAGAUUUAUCGGAUUUGGAUCGGCCCGCGUUAGAUUAGAUAGUUGGUGAGGUAACGGCUCACCAAGUCUACGAUCUAUAGCUGGUUUUAGAGGAUGAUCAGCAACACUGGGACUGAGACACGGCCCAGACUCCUACGGGAGGCAGCAGUGGGGAAUCUUGGACAAUGGGCGCAAGCCUGAUCCAGCCAUGCCGCGUGAGUGAUGAAGGCCUUAGGGUCGUAAAGCUCUUUCGCCAGAGAUGAUAAUGACAGUAUCUGGUAAAGAAACCCCGGCUAACUCCGUGCCAGCAGCCGCGGUAAUACGGAGGGGGUUAGCGUUGUUCGGAAUUACUGGGCGUAAAGCGCGCGUAGGCGGACCAGAAAGUUAGGGGUGAAAUCCCGGGGCUCAACCCCGGAACUGCCUCUAAAACUCCUGAUCUAGAGUUCGAGAGAGGUGAGUGGAAUUCCGAGUGUAGAGGUGAAAUUCGUAGAUAUUCGGAGGAACACCAGUGGCGAAGGCGGCU
rnacentral:rRNA from 1 species